rnacentral:rRNA from 1 species
GAUGAACGCUGACAGAAUGCUUAACACAUGCAAGUCAUUGGCGAAGCUGCGCUUGCGCAGUCUAGCCAAGGCGGACGGGUGAGUAACGCGUAAGGAACUUGCCCUGCAGACAGGGAUAACAGACGGAAACGACUGAUAACACCUGGUAUUGUCAGGCUGGCGCAUGCCGGCCUGAUGAAAGGAGACGCUGCAGGAGAGCCUUGCGUCCUAUUAGCUAGUUGGUGGGGUAACGGCCCACCAAGGCGAUGAUAGGUAGCCGGCCUGAGAGGGUGAACGGCCACAAGGGGACUGAGAUACGGCCCUUACUCCUACGGGAGGCAGCAGUGGAGAAUAUUGGACAAUGGGGGCAACCCUGAUACAGCAAUUCUGUGUGCACGAAGAAGGUUUUCGGAUUGUAAAGUGCUUUCAGCAGGGAAGAAGAAAGUGACGGUACCUGCAGAAGAAGCGACGGCUAGAUACGUG